rnacentral:misc_RNA from 1 species
CACAAUAAAAUACGAAGGCCGUUCGCGGCUGGACUAUUUAUUACCCUUGUCUUUUGCGCACUUGUUGUUUUCCUGGGCGGGUUCGCUCGCCACCAGGACCACAAUAUAAACCUUUUUUAUGCAGUUGCAAUCAGCGUCAGUAUAACAAAUGUAAAUCAUUUAC